rnacentral:rRNA from 1 species
CUUAACACAUGCAAGUCGAACGAGAAAUCUAACUGAAAGAGUUUUUCGGGACAAAUGGAUGUAGAGGAAAGUGGCGGACGGGUGAGUAACGCCGUGAGGAACCUGCCUUGAAGAGGGGGACAACAGUUGGAACGACUGCUAAUACCGCAUGACGCAUAGAGGUCGCAUGAUCUUUAUGCCAAAGAUUUAUCGCUUCAAGAUGGCCUCGCGUCUGAUUAGCUGGUUGGCGGGGUAACGGCCCACCAAGGCGACGAUCAGUAGCCGGACUGAGAGGUUGAACGGCCACAUUGGGACUGAGAUACGGCCCAGACUCCUACGGGAGGCAGCAGUGGGGAAUAUUGGGCAAUGGGCGCAAGCCUGACCCAGCAACGCCGCGUGAAGGAAGAAGGCUUUCGGGUUGUAAACUUCUUUUAAGAGGGAAGAGCAGAAGACGGUACCUCUAGAAUAAGCCACGGCUAACUACGUG